ncrna:unclassified sequences int-alpA RNA
GCCGCGCCUGGCCCGACGGGGAGAAAACCGGGACACCCUUGCCCGCCGGCGAGGCGCGUCGUUGGAGCG